rnacentral:rRNA from 1 species
GGUUGGAAUAAUCCUUUUCUGAAAGGACAUCCGCCUAAGGAUGGGACUGCGUCUGAUUAGGUAGUUGGUGGGGUAAUGGCCCACCAAGCCCUACAAUCAGUACGGGCCUUGAGAGAGGGAGCCCGGAGAUGGGGACUGAGACACAGCCCCAGGCCCUACGGGGCGCAGCAGGCGCGAAACCUCCACAAUGCACGAAAGUGCGAUGGGGGGAUCCCAAGUGCUUAUGCAAAGCAUAAGCUUUUCCCAAGUCUAAACAACUUGGGGAAUAAGGGCUGGGCAAGUCCGGUGCCAGCAGCCGCGGUAACACCGGCGGCCCAAGUGGUAGCCACUCUUAUUGGGCCUAAAGCGUCCGUAGCCGGUUUAGUAAGUCUCUGUUUAAAUCCUACGGCUUAACCGUAGGGCUGGCAGAGAUACUGCUAGACUUGGGACCGGGAGAGGAAGAGGGUACUUCAGGGGUAGCGGUGAAAUGCGUUGAUCCCUGAGGGACCACCUAUGGCGAAGGCACUCUUCUGGAACGGGUCCGACGGUGAGGGACGAAAGCUAGGGGAGCGAACCGGAUUAGAUACCCGGGUAGUCCUAGCCGUAAACUUUGCGAACUAGGUGUUAUCUGGACCUCGGGUCCAGGUAGUGCCGAAGGGAAGCCAUUAAGUUCGCCGCCUGGGGAGUACGGUCGCAAGACUGAAACUCAAAGGAAUUGACGG